rnacentral:rRNA from 1 species
UACGUAGGGUUCAAGCGUUGUCCGGAAUUAUUGGGCGUAAAGAGCUCGUAGGCGGUCUGUCGCGUCUGCUGUGAAAACCCGGGGCUCAACCCCGGGCUUGCAGUGGAUACGGGCAGACUAGAGUUCGGUAGGGGAGACUGGAAUUCCUGGUGUAGCGGUGAAAUGCGCAGAUAUCAGGAGGAACACCGGUGGCGAAGGCGGGUCUCUGGGCCGAUACUGACGCUGAGGAGCGAAAGCGUGGGGAGCGAACAGG